rnacentral:lncRNA from 10 species
CGGCCUUUGUGCCUUUUUAUUCUUUGCUUACCUUUAUGAUAUAAAGACCUUAUUUCUUACAAGGAGGAAAAGACCGCUGACUUCAGAAACAGCGGGAACCCCAGCUCGUCCCCGGUAAGACGGCCGUGGCCUGUCAGCUGGAACGGUCCUGCCGGAUGGAUCGCUCUUUGAGAGCGUACACUCCCGCGUGCGCGACACCAGGCGGCCCGUAGGUUCCAGGUGCCGAGCACACUACCUCCUCAGUUUACCUAAGUGCCCUACCAGUAUCAUAUUCUGUGUAUGCUGUGAUGUGAACGAGGUUUGUAAACACAGGCUGGUCUAAUGGAGCCCAAUGAGACCGCCAGAGGAUUAGUGUCUUGUCCAACAGUACUUGACUUGCUGGUAGAGCCCUAAUGACUGAGGGCUGCCCACAAGGGAAAGGUGAGAGAACCUUCACGUCUCUCAGGUAGUUUCCAGCCUGCACUUUCCCCCAGCUAAAGAUAAGUUUUGUUAUUUUUAAAAUUCUCUUUAUUUAGAGCAAAUUCAGCCCUAUCUCAGAUCGGGAAAUUAUAUAGUAUCAAAAGAGAGAGUCUUCAUAUUAGCAACCCAAAUAAAUAAACUAUUUUCCUGGGUGAUCAAAUAAGUUUGAUUCCUGCUUGAGUUCUAUUUAGAUACUAGGUGGAAUUUUACAAAGGGUCUACGUUCCAUGAACUGUAAUGGAAUGAAAAUAUUCACAAUCUAAAGACAUUUUCACAUUCCCAGUUUACAGCUGAGGAAAUUAAGCU